rnacentral:misc_RNA from 1 species
CAACCCUUAAGCCUAGCUUAGUGUUGGGAGUCUACAUGAAGGCUUUUGCCCUACUGUAGUUCCUGAAAAUCAACGGCGGAUCUAUAAUAGUCCUCUGAGCGUAGUAAUUUUUUAUCUCGCUUUUGUUAGGUGUUAUAGCCCUUGCCGCUAAACCCCCCAAUUUUUAAU